rnacentral:sRNA from 1 species
AUAUCUCUCCGUACGGGAAGGAUGAGAAGCUUCGACCAAGGUUCGAUUCGAGCGCAGCGAGAAAGCGUUGCCGCAGGCAACGACCCGAAGGGCGAAGCGCGCA